CCUCAGUAGUUAGAUAACAAAACUNCUCGCCAGAAUACUCCGAGCUCCAGCUUAAAACUCAAAGGACUUGACGGUGCUUUACACCCCCUAGAGGAGCCUGUUCCGUAAUCGAUAAACCCCGAUCCACCCCACCCUCUCUUGCUCAGCCUAUAUACCGCCAUCUUCAGCAAACCCCAAUGAAGGUCACAAAGUGAGCGCAAACGCCACCACCGCGAAUACGUUAGGUCAAGGUGUAGCCUAUGAGAUGGUAAAAAAUGGGCUACAUUUUCUACCUCAGAAAAUUCCACGAAAGCCCUUAUGAAAUUUAAGGGCCCAAGGAGGAUUUAGCAGUAAAUUAAGAAUAGAGUGCUUAAUUGAACUAGGCCAUAAAGCG
rnacentral:rRNA from 1 species